rnacentral:tRNA from 1 species
GGCCCGGUAGCUUAGUUGGUAAAGCACUUGUCUAGCGAAUAAGGGUCGUGAGUUCAAAUCUCACCUGAGCUG